CCUACGGGUGGCAGCAGUGGGGAAUCUUCCGCAAUGGGCGAAAGCCUGACGGAGCAACGCCGCGUGAUCGAAUGAAGGCCUUCGGGUUGUAAAGAUCUGUUGACAGGGACGAAUAAGCAAUGCAAAUAGUUUUGUGUAUGACGGUACCCGACCAAGAAGCCCCGGCUAACUACGUGCCAGCAGCCGCGGUAAUACGUAGGGGGCGAGCGUUAUCCGGAAUUACUGGGUGUAAAGGGAGCGUAGACGGCGAGGUAAGCCUGAAGUGGAAGCGCGCGGCCCAACCGCGGAACUGCUUUGGGAACUGGUUUGCUGGAGUAUGGGAGGGGUAAGCGGAAUUCCUGGUGUAGCGGUGAAAUGCGUAGAUAUCAGGAGGAACACCGGUGGCGAAGGCGGCUUACUGGACCAUAACUGACGUUGAGGCUCGAAAGCGUGGGGAGCGAACAGGAUUAGAUACCCUUGUAGUC
rnacentral:rRNA from 1 species